rnacentral:rRNA from 1 species
GCAGAAGAGGACAGUGGAACUCCAUGUGUAGCGGUGAAAUGCGUAGAUAUAUGGAAGAACACCAGUGGCGAAGGCGGCUGUCUGGUCUGUAACUGACGCUGAGGCUCGAAAGUAUGGGUAGCAAACAGGAUUAGAUACCCUGGUAGUCCAUACCGUAAACGAUGAAUGCUAAGUGUUGGAGGGUUUCCGCCCUUCAGUGCUGCAGCUAACGCAUUAAGCAUUCCGCCUGGGGAGUACGGCCGCAAGGCUGAAACUCAAAGGAAUUGACGGGGGCCCGCACAAGCGGUGGAGCAUGUGGUUUAAUUCGAAGCUACGCGAAGAACCUUACCAGGUCUUGACAUACUAUGCAAAUCUAAGAGAUUAGACGUUCCCUUCGGGGACAUGGAUACAGGUGGUGCAUGGUUGUCGUCAGCUCGUGUCGUGAGAUGUUGGGUUAAGUCCCGCAACGAGCGCAACCCUUAUUAUCAGUUGCCAGCAUUAAGUUGGGCACUCUGGUGAGACUGCCGGUGACAAACCGGAGGAAGGUGGGGAUGACGUCAAAUCAUCAUGCCCCUUAUGACCUGGGCUACACACGUGCUACAAUGGAUGGUACAACGAGUUGCGAACUCGCGAGAGUAAGCUAAUCUCUUAAAGCCAUUCUCAGUUCGGAUUGUAGGCUGCAACUCGCCUACAUGAAGUCGGAAUCGCUAGUAAUCGCGGAUCAGCAUGCCGCGGUGAAUACGUUCCCGGGCCUUGUACACACCGCCCGUCACACCAUGAGAGUUUGUAACACCCAAAGUCGGUGGGGUAACCUUUUAGGAACCAGCCGCCUAAGGUGGGACAGAUGAUUAGGGUGAAGUCGUAACAAGGUAGCCGUA